GAUGAAGAACGCAGCGAAAUGCGAUAAGUAAUGCGAAUUGCAGAAUUCAGUGAGUCAUCGAAUCUUUGAACGCACAUUGCGCCCUGUGGUAUUCCGCAGGGCAUGCCUGUUCGAGCGUCAUUUCAACCCUCAAGCCCCGCUUGGUGUUGGGCCCCGCCCGCUGUGGCCGGCCCUAAAGACAGUGGCGGCGCCGCCUGGCCCUCAGCGUAGUACAUCUCUCGCUCCAGUGCCCGGUGGUAGCCUGCCAGAACCCCAACUCUCGUGGUUGACCUCGGAUCAGGUAGGGAUACCCGCUGAACUUAAGCAUAUCAAUAAGCGGAGGA
rnacentral:misc_RNA from 1 species